rnacentral:rRNA from 1 species
CUACUAGUUGUCGGGUUUUAAUUAACUUGGUAACGCAGCUAACGCGUGAAGUAGACCGCCUGGGGAGUACGGUCGCAAGAUUAAAACUCAAAGGAAUUGACGGGGACCCGCACAAGCGGUGGAUGAUGUGGAUUAAUUCGAUGCAACGCGAAAAACCUUACCUACCCUUGACAUGUACGGAAGGCCGAAGAGAUUUGGCUGUGCUCGAAAGAGAACCGUAACACAGGUGCCGCAUGGCUGUCGUCAGCUCGUGUCGUGAGAUGUUGGGUUAAGUCCCGCAACGAGCGCAACCCUUGUCAUUAGUUGCUACGAAAGGGCACUCUAAUGAGACUGCCGGUGACAAACCGGAGGAAGGUGGGGAUGACGUCAAGUCCUCAUGGCCCUUAUGGGUAGGGCUUCACACGUCAUACAAUGGUACAUACAGAGCGCCGCCAACCCGCGAGGGGGAGCUAAUCGCAGAAAGUGUAUCGUAGUCCGGAUUGUAGUCUGCAACUCGACUACAUGAAGUUGGAAUCGCUAGUAAUCGCGGAUCAGCAUGUCGCGGUGAAUACGUUCCCGGGUCUUGUACACACCGCCCGUCACACCAUGGGAGCGGGUUUUACCAGAAGUAGGUAGCUUAACCGCAAGGAGGGCGCUUACCACGGUAGGAUUCGUGACUGGGGUGAAGUCGUAACAAGGUAGCCGUAUCGGAAGGUGCC